GAUGAAGAACGUAGCGAAUUGCGAUAUGUAAUGUGAAUUGCAGAAUUCAGUGAAUCAUCGAAUCUUUGAACGCACCUUGCACCCUCUGGUAUUCCGGAGGGUAUGCCUGUUUGAGUGUCAUUAACAUCUCAACGCUUGAUGGGUUCUUGUAACCCGUUCAGUGGUUGGACUUUGAAGGUUGCCGGUGUCAAAGCCAGCUCCUUUUAAAUGCAUGAGCAAGGACUAUUCCGAAUCGGCUUCGGUUUGAUAAAUUUGACUUAUCUGAUGCCGUCGCUGAGGAACUAUGGUCGACCUGCUUCUAAUUGUCUUCGGACUGUCUCCUUGUGAGGCAACUAUAUUGACUCUUGACCUCAAAUCAGGUAGGACUACCCGCUGAACUUAAGCAUAUCAAUAAGCGGAGGA
rnacentral:misc_RNA from 1 species